rnacentral:rRNA from 1 species
GAUGAACGCUAGCGGCAGGCCUAACACAUGCAAGUCGAGGGGUAGAGGAAGCUUGCUUCCUUGAGACCGGCGCACGGGUGCGUAACGCGUAUGCAAUCUGCCUUGUACUGAGGGAUAGCCCAGAGAAAUUUGGAUUAAUACCUCAUAGCAUUAUGAAAUCGCAUGGUUUUAUAAUUAAAGUUUCAACGGUAACAGAUGAGCAUGCGUCCCAUUAGUUAGUAGGUAAGGUAACGGCUUACCAAGACGAGGAUGGGUAGGGGUCCUGAGAGGGAGAUCCCCCACACUGGUACUGAGACACGGACCAGACUCCUACGGGAGGAAGCAGUGAGGAAUAUUGGUCAAUGGACGCAAGUCUGAACCAGCCAUGCCGCGUGCAGGAUGAAGCAUCUAUGGUGUGUAAACUGCUUUUGUACGGGAAGAAACACUCCUACGUGUAGGAGCUUGACGGUACCGUAAGAAUAAGGAUCGGCUAACUCCGUGCCAGCAGCCGCCGUAAAAC